AAACUAACAAGGAUUCCCCUAGUAGCGGCGAGCGAAGCGGGAAGAGCUCAAAUUUAUAAUCUGGCACCUUCGGUGUCCGAGUUGUAAUCUCUAGAAGUGUUUUCCGCGUUGGACCGCACACAAGUCUGUUGGAAUACAGCGGCAUAGUGGUGAAACCCCCGUAUAUGGUGCGGACGCCCAGCGCUUUGUGAUACACUUUCAAUGAGUCGAGUUGUUUGGGAAUGCAGCUCAAAUUGGGUGGUAAAUUCCAUCUAAAGCUAAAUAUUGGCGAGAGACCGAUAGCGAACAAGUACCGUGAGGGAAAGAUGAAAAGCACUUUGGAAAGAGAGUUAACAGUACGUGAAAUUGUUGGAAGGGAAACGCUUGAAGUCAGACUUGCUUGCCGGAGCUUGCUUCGGUUUGCAGGCCAGCAUCAGUUUUCCGGGGUGGAUAAUAACGGUUUGAAGGUAGCAGUCUCGGCUGUGUUAUAGCUUUCCGUUGGAUACAUCCUGGGGGACUGAGGAACGCAGCGUGCUUUUUGCGAAAGACUCGUCUUUUUCACGCUUAGGAUGCUGGUGGAAUGGCUUUAAACGAC
rnacentral:rRNA from 1 species